rnacentral:rRNA from 1 species
UAACCUGCCCAUAAGAGGGGGAUAAUCCAUGGAAACGUGGACUAAUACCGCAUAUUGUAGUUAAGAUGCAUGACUUGAUUAUGAAAGAUUUAUCGCUUAUGGAUGGACUCGCGUCAGAUUAGAUAGUUGGUGAGGUAACGGCUCACCAAGUCAACGAUCUGUAGCCGAACUGAGAGGUUGAUCGGCCGCAUUGGGACUGAGACACGGCCCAGACUCCUACGGGAGGCAGCAGUGGGGAAUAUUGCGCAAUGGGGGCAACCCUGACGCAGCAACGCCGCGUGCAGGAAGAAGGUCUUCGGAUUGUAAACUGUUGUCGCAAGGGAAGAAGACAGUGACGGUACCUUGUGAGAAAGUCACGGCUAACUACGUGCCAGCAGCCGCGGUAAUACGUAGGUGACAAGCGUUGUCCGGAUUUACUGGGUGUAAAGGGCGCGUAGGCGGACUGUCAAGUCAGUCGUGAAAUACCGGGGCUUAACCCCGGGGCUGCGAUUGAAACUGACAGCCUUGAGUAUCGGAGAGGAGAGCGGAAUUCCUAGUGUAGCGGUGAAAUGCGUAGAUAUUAGGAGGAACACCAGUGGCGAAGGCGGCUUUCUGGACGACAACUGACGCUGAGGCGCGAAAGUGUGGGGAGCAAACAGGAUUAGAUACCCUGGUAGUCCACACCGUAAACGAUGGAUACUAGGUG